UAGGUAAAAGCUCAUAAGUAGCAGUUGAUUGUUAAUCAUUAAGGUGUAAUUUAAAUUAUUUACUUAG
rnacentral:tRNA from 1 species